rnacentral:misc_RNA from 1 species
AUUUGCCAACUUAUACCUUCUGUUUUGGUAAACCAGCAGUUACUGAUUGCACACUGUGGCUAUGUUGUUGUUGGUGUUCUCUAGCUCAGGAAGUUCGAACUGGGAAUUCUUACGAUAUUGUGGAAGAUAAGUUUUACAGGAAAGACAUGGACAGUAGUAAUCAUCUGCAGCCUUCACCUCAUGAAGAUGGUUCUAGUGCAAGUUCUCAACUUGGCAACAACCAUAGCUCAUCCAAGACUUCGAUAGCAAAUUCUCCAAGUCCUAGCAGAGUUUCAAA